AUUAAAUUAAAAUCCGCCUUUUAUGUUUUCCAAUUUUUCACAGUGAAAAAAAUCAUGAGAAGUAUCCUCAUAGGUGAGUCUUUUCACACAUCUGCACUAGUGAAUAUCUGAAUUUUAAAAGCCACUCCAGACCUACAUAGGUGAUGCAUAAUCAGAGGAGGUGACCCCAAGCACCUUAGAGACCAUGGGAAGUUCCUAAUGCCGGCCUGAUGCAGAUUCUCUUCUCCACGGAGCACCAUGGCCGCUGGGCUCUGCCUUCCACACAGAACGAUGUGUACUUGAAAACAGUACACUCUUGCACAGCUGUCCCUGGAGCUUCCCCGUGGAGCUGUUAAACUUGCCCUCCGCUGGCUGUUUUCCACAAAGUAAUAUGGUUACAUAGAUUCACGGCUCAUGGCAAUGUUUCAUUAAGACAGUUCUUGAUGGCCGCUCCACACCUUUCUCACCACAUCUCACAGGCUGCCCUGCUGAGCCAGGUCUCCCUGGAACCCGGGGCUCCUGCGCAGGCCCCCAUUUUGCUCCAGAACACCCAGGAAGGCGGGGCUUGGGCUGGAAUGGGGACACCGAUUACCCUCUGUUCAGGCCUUUGGUGCCAGCUGAGGUCGAUACUGGUGCCAGGAUCGAGACUGUGCGCAUCCCAUCGAGAGCGGGCAGAUGUGGGGGCGCACUGGACCGGGCCUCCCAGGCUGACACCCAUUCACAGCAGCCUGAGCCUAAUCCGCCACUGCUCGCCUUCCUCCGACGUCUCCACCUAAACCAUCCUUCUGCACAUUGUGACCCAUCACUCCGCCCUUUGUCCACACAUCUCCUUCCCCACACCCACAACGCGGUGGUCCCUGCCCCACAAUGCAACGGAAACCUUGCGGAGUGCUAGGCGGAAGCUGCGAGGCCUGUGUAGACACUGCCUCCGCAGGGCUGGCGCACUCCUCCGAGGGCCGACUGAGGGGUGGGUUUUUUAAGUUGCAAAAUAAAAGUUAUCGCCUGUGGGCCCUGAAGGCCUCUUUUCCA
rnacentral:lncRNA from 1 species